rnacentral:rRNA from 1 species
CCUACGGGUGGCAGCAGUAGGGAAUUUUGCGCAAUGGGCGAAAGCCUGACGCAGCAACGCCGCGUGAUCGAGACGCCCUUCGGGGUGUAAAGAUCUGUCUGUGGGGACGACACUUGACGGUACCCACAGAGGAAGCACCGGCUAACUCCGUGCCAGCAGCCGCGGUACUCCGGGGGGUGCAAGCGUUGUCCGGAAUCAUUGGGCGUAAAGAGUUCUUAGGCGGCACGUAAAGUCUGGUGGUAAAGGGAGAGGCUCAACUUCUGUACGGCACUGGAUACUUGCGAGCUAGAAUGCGGGAGAGGUAAAGGGAAUGCCUGGUGUAGCGGUGAAAUGCAUAGAUAUCAGGAGGAACAUCGGUGGCGAAGGCGCUUUACUGGGCCGUAAUUGACGCUGAGGAACGAAAGCCAGGGUAGCAAAUGGGAUUAGAUACCCUUGUAGUC